rnacentral:lncRNA from 1 species
AAAUCUCAUUCAUACUCUGGCCAGAGAUUCUUAAUCAUAUCAUAGAGUAUUCUCCCUCAAACAGUUUAAAGGUUAGAGAUCCCUUGUUGCGCAUUCACUUGCCUCCAUGGCUAAGUGGCUUAAACCCAACUAUGCCGUGGACACCCUCCUUUUGGAGUGACUUUUGACAUAAUCAACGAUCAAGGACUUAACCACAAGACAACUAUGAUGCCUCAGGUCAAAGGACUACUUUGCAUUAUCCCAACCAUGAGUUCUCAUAUGACAUGAAUAUGAGAACUCUUCGUUGAUCGUGUUUAGUGAACUCAUUCUCUAUUGAG